rnacentral:tRNA from 1 species
GGCUUUAUAGUCAAUAAUGACAUUAGACUGCAAUUCUAAAGGAGUAAUUUAAUUUGUUACUAAGGCUU